rnacentral:rRNA from 1 species
AGCGAACGCUGGCGGCAGGCUUAACACAUGCAAGUCGAACGGGCGUAGCAAUACGUCAGUGGCAGACGGGUGAGUAACGCGUGGGAACGUACCUUUUGGUUCGGAACAACCCAGGGAAACUUGGGCUAAUACCGGAUAAGCCCUUACGGGGAAAGAUUUAUCGCCGAAAGAUCGGCCCGCGUCUGAUUAGCUAGUUGGUGUGGUAACGGCGCACCAAGGCGACGAUCAGUAGCUGGUCUGAGAGGAUGAUCAGCCACAUUGGGACUGAGACACGGCCCAAACUCCUACGGGAGGCAGCAGUGGGGAAUAUUGGGACAAUGGGCGCAAGCCUGAUCCAGCCAUGCCGCGUGAGUGAUGAAGGCCCUAGGGUUUAGU